AUGUUUCUCUCUGCUCUAAAAUUAUAUUUAUAUUAUAUUAUAAAACGUGGCAGUUUUGUAGUCAGGCUUUUAGCCAUGGUGUAUCCGAGGACAGUGCAUGCGAGUGUGUGUGUGUGUGUGUGUGUGUUCAGUGUGUGUGUGUGUGUGUAUAUUUGAAUAGCUCGGUCUCAGUGCUUACAUGUGCAUUUCUGCUUAUUUCUGUUUCAGUGGCAGGUCCAGUCCUCUGUCCUCCAUGCCCUCUGCUAAGAAGAGACAUUUCUCAGUGGCAGGUGACAGGCUGUAGCACUUAUCUAAUAAAGAGCAGUUUGAGGAAUGUAUCUCCAGGCCUCUGUGAUUUCUGCGUUUUCCGUUGCAGAGCUCUGUGAAUUCUGCAGAAAGCUGAGGGAGAUGUUUGCUCGAACGUUUGCUCGAACGUCGUCCUCCUGAAGCUUUCCAUACCUGCCAGAUGUGCCAGUUCUAAAUCACUGCGCCGGACAGGUCGGCAGAUUGGAUCUGUUCAGAUGCUAUCACCUUUACUGCUGCUCCAGUAAGGCGUAAAACCUAAAACCCUGAAUGUGUCCUGAAUACGGUCCCCUGGAGACAGCAGCACACUUCCAGCCCUCAUCCACGCUCUGCACUGCUGCAGAACUGGACCCAGAACCGGCUGGAGAACCGGCUGGAGAGCUGGCCAGACUCCUGCAGGGCCAAACAGCACCUAAUCAUCUCCAUGGCCUGAAGGCCACGCUGCUAAAGCCAUUGUCCUUCUGUUUUCCAGCAGAAAAUCAGCGCAAGAAAAUGCUGUAGCUCAGAUUGAAUGUCUGAAGAUAAUGAUGGUGAGGGAGGAGUCAUCACACAGUUCACCAUGCAGUAGUUCAUUAUCAUCAUUAAUCACCUCUCUGUGUCUGAACAGCUUUACUGUUAUAAAUGGUUUUAUUCACCAAGUAUGUUUAAGUGCUGUAUGAAUGCGAUAAACUAAUAAAGUGCUAUUUUAAAAUAAAACA
rnacentral:lncRNA from 1 species